AUUGCACAAUGGGCGAAAGCCUGAUGCAGCGACGCCGCGUGAGCGAAGAAGUAUUUCGGUAUGUAAAGCUCUAUCAGCAGGGAAGAUAAUGACGGUACCUGACUAAGAAGCACCGGCUAAAUACGUGCCAGCAGCCGCGGUAAUA
rnacentral:rRNA from 1 species